UGAGGAACAUGACUUUCGGCGGGGGAUAGCCGGCCCAACGGCCGGGUAAUACCGCGUACGACCUUUUGGGGACAUCCCCGAAUGGUGAAAGCAGCAAUGCGCCGAUGGAGUGCCUCGCGGCCUAUCAGCUAGUUGGUGAGGUAACGGCUCACCAAGGCAACGAUGCGUAGCCGACCUGAGAGGGUGAUCGGCCANAUUGGAACUGAGACACGGUCCAGACUCCCGUACGGGGA
rnacentral:rRNA from 1 species